rnacentral:rRNA from 1 species
GCAGUGGGGAAUAUUGGACAAUGGGCGCAAGCCUGAUCCAGCCAUGCCGCGUGUGUGAAGAAGGCCUUCGGGUUGUAAAGCACUUUUGUUCGGGAAGAAAAGCUACCGGUUAAUACCCGGGAGUCAUGACGGUACCGAAAGAAUAAGCACCGGCUAACUUCGUGCCAGCAGCCGCGGUAAUACGAAGGGUGCAAGCGUUACUCGGAAUUACUGGGCGUAAAGCGUGCGUAGGUGGUGCGUUAAGUCUGUCGUGAAAGCCCCGGGCUCAACCUGGGAAUGGCAAUGGAUGCUGGCGCGCUAGGGUGCGGUAGAGGAGAGUGGAAUUCCCGGUGUAGCAGUGAAAUGCGUAGAGAUCGGGAGGAACAUCAGUUGCGAAGGCGGCUCUCUGGACCAACACUGACACUGAGGCACGAAAGCGUGGGGAGCAAACAGGAUUAGAUACCCUGGUAGUCCACGCCCUAAACGAUGCGAACUGGACGUUGGGAGCAACUAGGCUCUCAGUGUCGAAGCUAACGCGUUAAGUUCGCCGCCUGGGGAGUACGGUCGCAAGACUGAAACUCAAAGGAAUUGACGGAAGC